UUUUGAAAAUGACGUGCUCUGAUUAAAGCUGCUUCACCAUGGUGAAGCUGGUCCCAGAAGCUAAGCAGUGUUGCGCCUGGUUAGUACUAGGAUGGGAGACAGCCUGGGGAUACCAGGUGCUGCAAGAC
ensembl:rRNA 5S_rRNA 5S ribosomal RNA